rnacentral:rRNA from 1 species
AUUCGAUUUCCGGUUGAUCCUGCCAGAGGUUACUGCUAUCGAGAUUCGACUAAGCCAUGCGAGUUGAAUGUUCUUCGUGAACAUGGCGGACUGCUCAGUAACACGUGGACAACCUACCCUUGGGUCUGGCAUAAUCCUGGGAAACUGGGGAUAAUUCCGGAUAGGCCACAGAUGCUGGAAUGCGCUGUGGCCGAAAGCUCCGGCGCCCAAGGAUGGGUCUGCGGCCUAUCAGGGUUGUAGUGGGUGUAAUGUACCUACUAGCCUACGACGGGUACGGGUUGUGAGAGCAAGAGCCCGGAGAUGGAUUCUGAGACACGAAUCCAGGCCCUACGGGGUGCAGCAGGCGCGAAAACUUUACAAUGCGGGAAACCGUGAUAAGGGAAUCUCGAGUGCCAGCAUAUAAUGUUGGCUGUCCAGAUGCCUAAAAAGCAUCUGUUAGCAAGGGCCGGGCAAGACCGGUGCCAGCCGCCGCGGUAACACCGGCGGCCCGAGUGGUAACCGCUUUUAUUGGGUCUAAAGGGUCUGUAGCCGGCCAAGUAAGUCCCUUGGGAAAUCUGGCAGCUUAACUGUCAGGCUGCUAGGGGAUACUGCUGGGCUUGGGACCGGGAGAGGUGAGAGGUACCUUGGGGGUAGGGGUGAAAUCUUGUGAUCCUCGGGGGACCACCAGUGGCGAAGGCGUCUCACCAGAACGGGUCCGACGGUAAGGGACGAAAGCUAGGGGCACGAACCGGAUUAGAUACCCGGGUAGUCCUAGCCGUAAACGAUGCUCGCUAGGUGUCAGUCACGGUGCGACCGUGAUUGGUGCCGUAGGGAAGCCGUGAAGCGAGCCACCUGGGAAGUAUGGCCGCAAGGCUUGAAACUUAAAGGAAUUGGCGGGGGAGCACUACAACGGGUGGAGCCUGCGGUUUAAUUGGAUUCAACGCCGGAAAUCUCACCGGGGGCGACAGCAAUAUGAAGGUCAGGCUGAAGACCUUACCCGAUUAGCUGAGAGGUGGUGCAUGGCCGUCGUCAGUUCGUACUGUGAAGCAUCCUGUUAAGUCAGGCAACGAGCGAGACCCA